GUGCUUGACAAAAGAAGUGUGAAGAGACAAAACCAUGUAGUGGUCCAAUGGUUAGUUCAAUGGGAUCAAUGGCCUAUAGAGGAAGCAACAUGCGUGGAUGCUGAGAAGAUAGAGAAGGAAUUUCCUACAUUUGAUCCUUGGGGUCAAGGAUCCUUUAAUGGAGGGAGUAUUGAUGCAAUUAAUGUUCCAUUGGAUACUGUUCCAUUGAGGAAUGAAGUGCUGAAUGAACUGACUAUGAACAACAACAAUGAAUCAGCUGCUGAGUCAGAUGCUGAGUCAAGAAAAGCAACAGAGGAUCAGGGGAAUGGAAAGAGUGAUGAUCAAGGAAUGACAGCUCACAAUGAGCAGAAGAAUAAUAAAGGGAAUAUGCCAGCUAGCCAUUAGAGGAAACUAUGAUAGUCUGUCAUUGUACUAACUAUUUUGUCUUAUUUCAAUUUGUUAUGAGUCAUCCUGUAAUCAAGGCUAUAAAGCCAAACAAUGAUGUAAUAGCUGGUAUUAUGUUUAAUCAAUGAAAAUUCCCUUUGAUCUUAUCUCUUACUCUCUCUCUAUAAUCUCACUGCAAUUUAAUCAUUCAAUUGCUUCCUCAAACUGCCCUUCUUUCUAACUAGGCUAGUUAUUAGGGGUGAUUGAACCAGCCUCCACUAUGGUAUUCUCAGAAUCAGGAAGAAGUUGUCAAAAAGAACGAGUCAUUUGACAGGCUACAAGAAGAAGCUCAGAAAUACUUGGUACAAAGUGAAAAGUUGAGUGUUGAAAAAGAUGAGUUUGAAACAGAAGUAUAUGCAAAGGUACUUUGUAUUCUUAUUUUAUAAACAGAAGUAUAUGCAAAGGUACUUUGUAUUCUUAUUUUAUAGCUCUCUACCCUAGAUAAUUUGUAGACAAAGUUAAUGGUUGAAGAGUGAAAUUUUAAAACAUAUUCUAUUAGCCAGCAUUUUGAAUCAGACCUGGGUGUCUAACUGCCUGGGAAAGGAGUGAUUCCCUCAUAUAAGUAGAAAAUGAGAGGAAAGAUUCAUUUCAAGCAUGUCUAUGAUCAGAAGACAAUAUUCAAAGAGCUCGAAACAAGUGUUCAAUUCAAAAUUUAUGAGUUUGUUGAUCGAUUUUAGAUUGUUAAGGAAACAUUGGGAAUUGUCGUGGUCUGUAAGAGGUUUGUAAGUUUAAAUUAGUUUUCAAUGCUUAAGUUUAAUCUUAGAUUUUAAUGCAUGUUUUCCACUAUACGAUUGCUGAUUUCAUUUUCAUUUUCUUUCAUAUGAUUGACUGGGCUUAAUUUUUUCUUAUAGGAAAAUUGAUUGUGUAGUGUUGUUUACAAUUACUUUUUUGUUAGAUUUAGAAAACUAUAAAUAGCUUAUUUUUUCCGGCAAAAUUGAAGUUUUUUGUUACUCCCUUUUCUACUGUAAUCACUUUUUGAUUUUACCACACCAUGGAUUUAAUCAGCAGGAUACUUUUUUAAAAUAAAUUAAGAUGAAUAUAUAUUUAAUUAUAUUCAAUUUUUGAUUAUUUGGAUCCCGACUUUUCACCAGCAAAUCUCAAUUUAAUUGGUUAGAUUAUUCUCAAUUAAAAGAUGAUGCAUUCAUGGGUUUACUAAUUUGCUGCAUAUUACUAUAUAAUAAGUCCAGCCCCCGGCUUCGCCCAUGAUUCGCCCUGUUCCUAAUGGCCUGCUGAUUUAUUACUGGCUGGUUCUGGUCUGAUGCUUAUGUGAUCAGCAGCUUCUGGCUGGUCUGGUCUGGUCUGUUGCUGCUGUGAUCAGUAUCUACUUGUCAAGCUGUCAGGCUGCUGCUAGAUUGCUGCUGGAGUGUUGAUGCUUCAUGCUUCUGCUGCUGUUUUGCUUAUCUUUUUUUUCUGGUUGUUGCUUGUAGGCUCUAGUGUUUUUUCUGUUUUGGCUUUGUUUUUGUUUUUGUCCUAGGCCCCUCAACAUUUACAUUAACCACUAAUCUUAUAUGGCUACGAGGGUUAGGCUCUUCAUCCAUGGACAUAGAAACAAAUGAUGAACCUAGAGGGACAAGGGAGAAUAAUAGCACCAUAGAGGGAGAAUAAUAGCACCAUAGAGGUAGGCUUUGAUGAGGAAGGACAGAUUGAUCAAUCACUUGAACAUGAAGAUGCAUCUUUGGAUGGUGAGCCAUUGAACAACAAGGCACUCAUGACUAUAGCAGAGGAAGAGGACCUUAACAUUUCAUCAGGUUUGCUUUAUCAUUUCUCAAUACAUAUAUAUAAAUCCAUUUGGUUCAAGUCACGUCGAUUCUUUAACUAGUGAGCUUAUGCUAAGCUAGAUACAGGUGCUACUAAAAAAAAGAGGAAUGAUAUAUUGCAGAAAGCUUACCCUAUUACCUCCUGGGAAAUACUGAACUGGAUUUUGACGAGGAUGGUGUUGCUAUUGGUGAUAAUGCCUCAUUAUUUUCAUUCUUCUUGGGCCAACAAGUUCGAAAUAAAGCUGUAUGUCCGGUACAAGUCAAAAGUUGGGAUGAGUAUACAUCUGAAAUAUUAGACCAUUUGUGGGCUUGCAUCAUGGAGAAGUGGCCAUUUGAUGAUCCUGAAAAUAGGCCGGAGAGUAUUAUAAAACAUGCACAAGCUAUAUUUACAGGUGCAAGGAACAAAUUGAAAUCAAAGUAUUUUAAUGAUAAAAAGUUAAAGACAAAAGAUGAACGUCUCAAAAAUAAGCUUAGUCAUUUGACUAAAAAUGAAUGGAAGUUCUUGGUUGACUAUUGGAGUGAUGAGACGGUUAUGAUAAUAUAAAACAUUACAAUAUGUUUAUUUUUAUAUACGUAAUGUAUCUAAUUGAUUAAAUCGUUUUUACUACAUAAGAAGAGCAAAAAAGCAAGUGAAAGUAGGGCUCACUACAACAGCACUAAAAGCUUCGGUCGCACUAGACAAGAAAUUGUAAAAAGGCGCGGAGGAGCAGUUUGGCAUGCUAUAGAAAGUUUUUUUUUGGAGGGGGGGGGGGGGGG